AGAGGCGAUUCCAGAAAUAUUUGAAGCUAUAUUGAAGAGGAAAUUGGCAGGGAUUAGAGAUAAGGAUGACGAAUUGAUGGCAGAAGUUAGGCGGAAAUCUCCAAGUGUGGAUUUUGAUUCUGAAUCCGACGAAUUGAAUGAUUCUAAUGGCGAGAAAGAAUGAGGCGAAAUUGCUAUUACAGAUUAAGAAAUCAACAAGCAAGAAAACUUGGAACAACAUUGCAGCUGGUGCUUGCUCGCAUGAGACAGUGCAGCUCUAGCCAAGCAAUGAGCUCUGCCAUUACCCACUGCAAGGACAGAUUACAAUCCUGCUGUAACAAUGCCCUGUAAUUCUUUAUGACUGUGCCAUGCUCAGACCAAUUAUCUUCAAAGGAAACAAUCGCAAAGAAAACCUCCUGUGAGUCAAUCUCAAACUUUGAAACCUCCCAUUCUUUACAUCCAAUUUUUUUAACGUUUUAAAGAGAAGAUAUUAAUUUCUUUUAUAUAAAAUAAAAAUAUCAUAUAUGUUCAAA